UAAUGGAUUUUCAUUAAAUUCUGCAAUCAUAUCCCACACCAUUUGAAAUGUGAAACUAACACUAAAUUUAAGCAUACUAAAACAACCAUUUUAUGAUUUAGCUACGGGAAACGUAUCCUGAAAUGUCUAUGUAUGGAUGCAGCUCUGAAUCUACUAUAGUUCGUUCACCCAACAGAAAUAGUUAAGCCCCUCCUCAACAAUUACCGCCACAUUUGAAUACGACAUUGUUAUUGGUGUAAUUUUUGAAGCCACAAUCACACUUGUAAAGCGAAUUGGCCGAAUUGGGUAAUCUGUCAUCUGUCAUCUUGCCUAUUGCGUUUCUGCCGGUUUUUACGUUUUUACAUCUUUACUUGCGUCAAUUUGCCAUUAAUCUCCUUUAUUCACACAAAAUAAUCUUUAUAAAGACUCGUCGGUGUAUUCUAAAGAUAGUCAGAAAAGUUGUACGCAAACAUGAAUGUCGCCGGUGCUGCUUUCUCUCCACCGAAAAAACGUUCUGCCAAGCACUUUUCAGUUGAAGACAAAACUGGCAUUUUAAAUAUCUUCAAGGCAUAUUCGGAAGACAACCA